rnacentral:rRNA from 1 species
AUUGAACGCUGGCGGCAUGCCUAACACAUGCAAGUCGAACGGCAGCACAGCAGUAGCAAUACUGUGGGUGGCGAGUGGCGGACGGGUGAGGAAUACGUCGGAAUCUGCCCAGUCGUGGGGGAUAACUAGCCGAAAGGUUAGCUAAUACCGCAUACGACCGAGAGGUGAAAGCGGGGGGACCGCAAGGCCUCGCGCGAUUGGACGAGCCGACGUCGGAUUAGCUAGUUGGCGGGGUAAAGGCCCACCAAGGCGACGAUCCGUAGCUGGUCUGAGAGGAUGAUCAGCCACACUGGAACUGAGACACGGUCCAGACUCCUACGGGAGGCAGCAGUGGGGAAUAUUGGACAAUGGGCGCAAGCCUGAUCCAGCCAUGCCGCGUGAGUGAAGAAGGCCU